ensembl:lncRNA LINC01719 long intergenic non-protein coding RNA 1719
UCUUCCAAAGAAGCUGGUCCUUAGCCUGUAUUGCGGAGCAAGCUUUCGGCGACCAGCUGGACCCUGGGCACCCUUCUUCGAACAAUGGCUUUUAAUUCUCAGACUAGAACGUUUAGGAUUACAAAAGAAACUGGUUCUUUUCACAUUCUUAUUCUUGUGAUGUAGCAUUCCGCAUAUAUAUAUAUAUAUAUAUAUAUAUAUAUAUAUAUAUGUAUCCAACUAUCCUAAAAGACACUACCCUUCAUCAUUCCAUGCCAUUAGACAUGUAUAGGACCAUGCAUGGUGAUCUCCUCCAGACAAAAGUAAAUGCUGGUGCAGAACAGUGUCUUCCUGGUACUACACAUGAAGAUGUCCCGCUCUCCCCUGCUCAAGGAGAGAGUGCCUGACCUGAGCUGGGCCCAUCAGAUCCAGUACUUACCUGGAAUACGAAAAAGAUGGAGAGAGUGACCAAAGAUUACAAAAAUCUCUGAAGCUUAUCUACUUGAGAGAGAGUCCCUGAAGAUACUGGCCUCUCAUUCCUGCUAUGUAUAUCCAAUGUGACUGAACUCUGAAUAAAAUAUACAAGUUAUAACAAUGUAGCAAUUGACCCAGCAAACGAGGACACAAACGUGUUGGAGGGAUUUGAGUUUGAUGUCUUGCAUACAAUGUGAUCCCACUGUAUGACUACACAAAUGUUGGCAAAAGUGAGUUCAGAGGAAAUGGUAGGCAAGUACUUCCCAGUUUUGGCCAGAAGAUGGAGAAAAAAGAAUUCUCAAAAAAUGUUAAAGGUGUCUACAGAGAAAUAGACAAGUGAUGCACGACAGAUACAUGUGUCAGUCUGGUCCCUGCAGUUGUAUUUGUAAUAAUACACAUUGGAGCAAUUUCAUGGCCAUCGGUUAGAGAAUGUUUGAGGAAUGAUCCAUUCAUAUCAAGAAGGACAUUUCAAAGAUCAAAACCUGAUGGAAAUGCUGGAGACCAUGGCGCUGAUAGGAGCUCAUGCGUGUGGACCAAUUACUACGUGACAGGCAUUGGCUCCAUGCUUUUCCUGCACUGCUCAUUUAAACACUGGACAACCUAAGUGUUCUGAUUUAUCCCAUUGGACAGAUAGAAAUGGAGGCACAGAAGAUUAAUGUGUUUAACUUCAAACCCUGGCAGAUUAGGUUUUUCAUCCAGAGCCUGUGGCUUCACCAUAGCUGUGAUUCACGUUCUGUCAUUCUCCACUUUAGGAAUUUCCAGUAUUCCAAAUAUGAGAAGCUGAGAAAACAAACAACAAACUCAAAACCCUAAAAACCGGAUACGUAAGGGUAGAUGUUUGUUGGGUGUGGAUUAAAAAUGGACUUUUUUUGCCCCAAGCAACAAAGAGGCACCUUAGAAAAUAGACAAGAGACAAGAAGAAGAGAAGCUUUAAGAGAUAUUUGGUCCAAGGAAGAGACUCUUCAGAUGGAAGGUCACGUCAGCUAGAAACAUUAAUAUGACUGGAUGGGCUCAAACCACUGACUUUUCAGUCAACAUCUGACAGCACUAACCCAGUGUUCCAGAGACACUGCUUGUUAAACAGUGAAUGCUGUUGCUCAAUUGUGUCAUCCGUAAUUGUCAAAUAUUGGCAUUUAGUAGCACAAGGAAGUAUUCUCCGUUGCCAAGCUAGAGCACCCAUAACUCUUCUGUUUUGUUGAACAUUGUUCCCCACCACAAACCCUCUUUAGAAGACUGGGGGCUCCUAAAGCAUUGAGGCCGAGAGUCCCGUCCUUGUGCAUGUUUGGGCAUUGACCCAGGGCCAAGUCAGUGGGAGACUCCUCCACGCCUACGCCAGGUCCCCAGGUGACAACUGCAGUCUCUGGAUCUGAAGUCAUCCACUUUCCCAUUCCUAGCUCACCUCACCCAUCGUGAAGCCUGGAUUUCCUUUUUAUCACUGGUUUUGAUGGAUUUGAUUAAGGCGUUCCUUGGUGAAGUUUUCUUCAUGUUUCUUGUUCUUAGAAUAAUCAUAUUUCUGUAAUAUUUGAAGUUUAUGGUUUCCAUGGAGCUUCUAAAUCUUUCAUCCAGUAUGUUUUAAAUAUCUUUGUCUCUCUUCUCCACUACACGCCCUUCAGGGAUUCCAUUUAGCCCUAUACUGGGGCGUUUAAAGUUUUGAUGCCGAUGGUGUUUUUAUGUUUUCAAGUCAUUUGUUACUGUGUGUUUCAUUUAUGUUAGUUUCAACUUCUAUUCCUUCUAGUUCAAUAAUCUUCUCUUCUGCAAUGUUUAAUCCACUGCCUUCUUCCAUUUCAGACUGUAAAUCAUACUUUUUAUCUACAGAAUUUGAUAUUUAAAAAAUCUUCAACCUCCCCAUUUAAUU